AACGAACGCUGGCGGCAGGCUUAACGCAUGCAAGUCGAGCGCCCCGCAAGGGGAGCGGCAGACGGGUGAGUAACGCGUGGGAAUCUACCGUGCCCUACGGAAUAACGCAUGGAAACGUGUGCUAAUACCGUAUACGCCCUACGGGGGAAAGAUUUAUCGGGGUAUGAUGAGCCCGCGUUGGAUUAGCUAGUUGGUGGGGUAAAGGCCUACCAAGGCGACGAUCCAUAGCUGGUCUGAGAGGAUGAUCAGCCACAUUGGGACUGAGACACGGCCCAAACUCCUACGGGAGGCAGCAGUGGGGAAUAUUGGACAAUGGGCGCAAGCCUGAUCCAGCCAUGCCGCGUGAGUGAUGAAGGUCUUAGGAUUGUAAAGCUCUUUCACCGGUGAAGAUAAUGACGGUAACCGGAGAAGAAGCCCCAGCUAACUUCGUGCCAGCAGCCGCCGCGG
rnacentral:rRNA from 1 species